ensembl:snRNA U6 U6 spliceosomal RNA
GGGUUUAGCAGCACACACACUAAAAUUGGAAUGAUACAGAAAAGAUCAGCAUGGCCCCUGCGCAAGGAUGACAGGCAAAUCUGUGAAGUAUACCAUAUCUUU